CCUACGGGAGGCAGCAGUGGGGAAUAUUGCACAAUGGGGGAAACCCUGAUGCAGCGACGCCGCGUGAAGGAAGAAGUAUCUCGGUAUGUAAACUUCUAUCAGCAGGGAAGAAAAUGACGGUACCUGACUAAGAAGCCCCGGCUAACUACGUGCCAGCAGCCGCGGUAAUACGUAGGGGGCAAGCGUUAUCCGGAUUUACUGGGCGUAAAGGGUGCGUAGGCGGUCUUUCAAGUCAGGAGUUAAAGGCUACGGCUCAACCGUAGUAAGCUCCUGAUACUGUCUGACUUGAGUGCAGGAGAGGAAAGCGGAAUUCCCAGUGUAGCGGUGAAAUGCGUAGAUAUUGGGAGGAACACCAGUAGCGAAGGCGGCUUUCUGGACUGUAACUGACGCUGAGGCACGAAAGCGUGGGGAGCAAACAGGAUUA
rnacentral:rRNA from 1 species